GAUGAACGCUGGCGGCGUGCCUAAUACAUGCAAGUCGAGCGAACAGACGAGGAGCUUGCUCCUCUGACGUUAGCGGCGGACGGGUGAGUAACACGUGGAUAACCUACCUAUAAGACUGGGAUAACUUCGGGAAACCGGAGCUAAUACCGGAUAAUAUAUUGAACCGCAUGGUUCAAUAGUGAAAGACGGUUUUGCUGUCACUUAUAGAUGGAUCCGCGCCGCAUUAGCUAGUUGGUAAGGUAACGGCUUACUAAGGCAACGAUGCGUAGCCGACCUGAGAGGGUGAUCGGCCACACUGGAACUGAGACGCGGUCCAGACUCCUACGGGAGGCAGCAGUAGGGAAUCUUCCGCAAUGGGCGAAAGCUUGACGGAGCAACGCCGCGUGAGUGAUGAAGGUCUUCGGAUCGUAAAACUCUGUUAUUAGGGAAGAACAAAUGUGUAAGUAACUAUGCACGUCUUGACGGUACCUAAUCAGAAAGCCACGGCUAACUACGUG
rnacentral:rRNA from 1 species